rnacentral:rRNA from 1 species
AUCUGUGGGUAAUCGACCAGCUUAACUGGUUGAAUUCUGCAGAGACUGCCAGACUAGGGACCGGGAGAGGUGUGGGGUACUCUCGGGGUAGGGGUAAAAUCCUGUCAUCCUGGGAGGACCACCAGUUGCGAAGGCGCCACACUGGAACGGAUCCGACGGUCAGGGACGAAGCCUAGGGGCACGAACCGGAUUAGAUACCCGGGUAGUCCUAGGAGUAAACGCUGUGAACUUGGUGUCGGGGAUCCUACUUGGGUUCCCGGUGCCGGAGUGAAGAUGUUAAGUUCACUGCCUGGGGAGUACGGUCGCAAGGCUGAAACUUAAAGGAAUUGGCGGGGGAGCACUGCAACGGGAGGAGCGUGCGGUUUAAUUGGAUUCAACGCCGGAAAACUCACCAAGGCCGACUGUUAGAUGAAGACCAGCGUAAUGAGCUUGUCGGAUUUUCAGAGAGGUGGUGCAUGGCCGUCGUCAGUUCGUACUGCAAAGCGUUCUGUUAAGUCAGAUAACGAACGAGACCCGCAUCCCUAUUUGCCACCCUGUUCUCCGGAGCAGGCGCACCAUAGGGAGACCGCUGGUGUGAAACCAGAGGAAGGCGCGGGCAACGACAGGUCAGUAUGCCCCGAAUGUCUUGGGCUACACGCGCGCUACAAAGGACGGGACAAUGGGAAGCCAGGCCGAGAGGUCGAGCUAACCCGAAACCCGUUCAUAGUUCGGAUCGAGGGCUGUAACUCGCCCUCGUGAAGCUGGAUUAGGUAGUAAUCGCGUCUCAAUAGGGCGCGGUGAAUAUGUCCCUGCUCCUUGCAC